CUGGAUAUGAUGAACAAGUUACUGUUUGAUGUCAAACUGAUCUCUAUUGUAUUCUUACUGUUUGAUCCGG
rnacentral:snoRNA from 1 species